UAAAUGCUUUCUUCGUCCCAAUUUUUUUCUUAGAUUUGUCUAAAUACGAAUGCAUCAAGUUACGUUUUAGUAUUAGAUACAUCCGUAUCUAGACGAAUGUAAGACAAGAAUUUUGGGACGGAUGGAGUAUCAU
rnacentral:pre_miRNA from 1 species